CAAGCCGACCUGAUGGCCCGAGCGCGCCCAACUGAGCUCCGCCACCUACCUUACGCACUCCGAUAGCGCUCGGUCACUUGGCAAACAACUCAGAAGCUUCGCCGCUUCCAGCGGCGAUUCGGUGGAUCGUACCGUCGAUAUUCUCUCCCUCUCUCUUUCGCACCACCCAUCGGCAAACCCCGAUUAGGAUCGCCAGAUUCUUGCCCAAGAGCAAUCGCCAUGGGAACUUCAGAGUCCACGCUCUCCGGAUCGCGGGUAACUCUCGAUCCUUUCGCCUCCGCCAGCUCAUCCGAAUCUUCGCAAGGCUCACUCCCAAAUCGUUACUGAACGGCCGUUGUUUCCUCUUGAAGAGACCAGCCGACGAAGUCACCACCAUCUCUGAGCGACCGGAGGGCGUCGAUCCCGUCCUGGAGAAGCUCAGGUCCCUCGAGAUCAUUGUAGACGCCUCCCAUUCUCACGUCGCUGCCGUCCGAGAGCAGCUUGACCGACAUUUUGGUUAGGAAGCCGCCGUCUUCAUCGGCUCCAGGAACAGUAAAUCCGAAGGUGCUACUGAAGCUAUUCUCGAUGUAACGCGAGUGGCACGAGGAGAAGGUUCAAAAGAUUGGCAAGAAACAGGUGCGCCUUUGCGUCGGUCGAUGCAUGUACUAUAUACAGACGCUAGGACCUUUCGAUGAAAAGAUCGUCAAAAGGGAUUUUAGACGAAAGGAAGUAUCUAGUUCUUCGAUAUAUGAACUCAUUAGCCUGUGUUUCCUUAGAUGGACUAGUUCGAAGUGGAAGAAUAUUGAGAGGCUCCAAUUUAGAACUAGUCAGGAAUCUGUAAAGAGUUCUUAUGGCUUUUUGGGGGCAAUCAACUUGUUGCCGUUUCUUUUGGUUCGAUCUUUCAGAAUUCUCUCUGGUGAAAGAUUACUUGGAAAGAUUGAAAGACCUGAAGCUAGUUUUAUAUAUUCGAUCUGUAAAAUGUAGAUAUGUGCUUCAAAGGAUUUAUGGAGAUCCCCAUUUCUUUGUUUUUCA